rnacentral:ncRNA from 2 species
AUGAUUCUUCAGGGCAGGGUGAAAUUCCCGACCGGUGGUAAAGCCCACGAACCGAAAGGUAGAUUCGGUGAAAUUCCGAAGCCGACAGUAAAACAUGACAGUCUGGAUGAAAGAAGAAUGUU